rnacentral:tRNA from 1 species
GGCAAGAUGGCCGAGUGGUCUAAGGCGCUACGUUUAGGUAAUAACUACCGUAGUCCGAAAGGGCGUGGGUUCAAAUCCCACUCUUGUCA